GGUGACAGCUCAGCGGUAGAGCGCCUGCCUGGCACGUGUGAGGCACUGGGUUCGAUCUUCAGCACCA
rnacentral:tRNA from 1 species